GCGGUUAGUAGCAAUACUAACUGAGUGGCGAACGGGUGAGUAACACGUGGGUGACCUACCUUCGAGUGGGGGAUAACGUCCCGAAAGGGACGCUAAUACCGCAUAACAUCCUGCCUUUGAACAGGCGGAGAUCAAAGCCGGGGAUCGCAAGACCUGGCGCUUGAUGAGGGGCCCGCGUCUGAUUAGCUAGUUGGUGAGGUAACGGCCCACCAAGGCGACGAUCAGUAUCCGGCCUGAGAGGGCGGACGGACACACUGGGACUGAGACACGGCCCAGACUCCUACGGGAGGCAGCAGUGGGGAAUUGUUCACAAUGGGCGCAAGCCUGAUGACGCAACGCCGCGUGGAGGAUGAAGGUCUUCGGAUUGUAAACUCCUGUUGCUCGGGACGAAAAGCUUCGACCUAAUACGUCGAGGUCUGACGGUACCGAGUGAGGAAGCCCCGGCUAACUCUGUGCCAGCAGCCGCGGUAAUACAGAGGGGGCAAGCGUUGUUCGGAAUUACUGGGCGUAAAGGGCGCGUAGGCGGCCUGCUAAGUCGAACGUGAAAUCCCCGAGCUCAACUCGGGAACUGCGUCCGAUACUGACAGGCUUGAAUCCGGGAGAGGGAUGCGGAAUUCCAGGUGUAGCGGUGAAAUGCGUAGAUAUCUGGAGGAACACCGGUGGCGAAGGCGGCAUCCUGGACCGGCAUUGACGCUGAGGCGCGAAAGCUAGGGGAGCAAA
rnacentral:rRNA from 1 species